rnacentral:rRNA from 1 species
GGACCCGCACAAGCAGCGGAGCAUGUGGUUUAAUUCGAAGCAACGCGAAGAACCUUACCAGAGCUUGACAUCCCUUUGACCGGUCCGUAAUGGGACCCUCUCUUCGGAGCAAAGGUGACAGGUGGUGCAUGGUUGUCGUCAGCUCGUGUCGUGAGAUGUUGGGUUAAGUCCCGCAACGAGCGCAACCCUUGUCAUUAGUUGCCAUCAUUCAGUUGGGCACUCUAGUGAGACUGCCGGGGACAACUCGGAGGAAGGUGGGGAUGACGUCAAAUCAUCAUGCCCCUUAUGUUCUGGGCUACACACGUGCUACAAUGGCCGGUACAGAGAGAAGCAAUAUCGUGAGGUGGAGCAAAACUCUAAAACCGGUCCCAGUUCGGAUUGUAGGCUGCAACUCGCCUACAUGAAGUCGGAGUUGCUAGUAAUCGCGAAUCAGAACGUCGCGGUGAAUGCGUUCCCGGGUCUU